UACGGGGGGGGCAAGCGUUGUUCGGAAUUACUGGGCGUAAAGGGCUUGUAGGUGGCCAACUAAGUCAGACGUGAAAUCCCUCGGCUUAACCGGGGAACUGCGUCUGAUACUGGAUGGCUCGAGUGUGGGAGAGGGAUGCGGAAUUCCAGGUGUAGCGGUGAAAUGCGUAGAUAUCAGGAAGAACAUCGGUGGCGAAGGCGCUCUGCUGGACCAUAACUGACAUUCAGGGACGAAAGCUAGGGGAGCGAAUGGG
rnacentral:rRNA from 1 species